AUUGAACGCUGGCGGCAGGCCUAACACAUGCAAGUCGAGCGGUUGAGGUAGCUUGCUUCCGAUGCAGCGGCGGACGGGUGAGUAAUACAUGGGAAUCUGCCUGGUAGUGGGGGACAACGUUUCGAAAGGAACGCUAAUACCGCAUACGCCCUACGGGGGAAAGGGGGGGAUCUUCGGACCUCUCGCUAUCAGAUGAGCCCAUGUCGGAUUAGCUUGUUGGUGAGGUAAAGGCUCACCAAGGCGAAGAUCCGUAACUGGUCUGAGAGGAUGAUCAGUCACACUGGAACUGAGACACGGUCCAGACUCCUACGGGAGGCAGCAGUGGGGAAUAUUGGACAAUGGGCGCAAGCCUGAUCCAGCCAUGCCGCGUGUGUGAAGAAGGCCUUAGGGUUGUAAAGCACUUUCAGUGGGGAGAAAGGUCAUUCACCUAAUACGUGAGUGAAUUGAUGUUACCCACAGAAGAAGCACCGGCUAACUCCGUGCCAGCCGCCGCCGUAA
rnacentral:rRNA from 1 species